AGAGUUUGAUCAUGGCUCAGGACGAACGCUGGCGGCGUGCUUAACACAUGCAAGUCGAACGGAAAGGCCCUUCGGGGUACUCGAGUGGCGAACGGGUGAGUAACACGUGGGUGAUCUGCCCUGCACUCUGGGAUAAGCCUGGGAAACUGGGUCUAAUACCGGAUAGGACCGCAUGCUUCAUGGUGUGUGGUGCAAAGCUUUUGCGGUGUGGGAUGAGCCCGCGGCCUAUCAGCUUGUUGGUGGGGUAGUGGCCUACCAAGGCGACGACGGGUAGCCGGCCUGAGAGGGUGACCGGCCACACUGGGACUGAGAUACGGCCCAGACUCCUACGGGAGGCAGCAGUGGGGAAUAUUGCACAAUGGGCGCAAGCCUGAUGCAGCGACGCCGCGUGAGGGAUGACGGCCUUCGGGUUGUAAACCUCUUUCAGUAGGGACGAAGCGAAAGUGACGGUACCUACAGAAGAAGGACCGGCCAACUACGUGCCAGCAGCCGCGGUAAUACGUAGGGUCCGAGCGUUGUCCGGAAUUACUGGGCGUAAAGAGCUCGUAGGUGGUUUGUCGCGUUGUUCGUGAAAACUCACAGCUUAACUGUGGGCGUGCGGGCGAUACGGGCAGACUAGAGUACUGCAGGGGAGACUGGAAUUCCUGGUGUAGCGGUGGAAUGCGCAGAUAUCAGGAGGAACACCGGUGGCGAAGGCGGGUCUCUGGGCAGUAACUGACGCUGAGGAGCGAAAGCGUGGGUAGCGAACAGGAUUAGAUACCCCGGUAGUCCAA
rnacentral:rRNA from 1 species